UACGUAGGGUGCAAGCGUUGUCCGGAAUUAUUGGGCGUAAAGAGCUUGUAGGCGGUUUGUCGCGUCUGCUGUGAAAACCCGAGGCUCAACCUCGGGCCUGCAGUGGGUACGGGCAGACUAGAGUGCGGUAGGGGAGAUUGGAAUUCCUGGUGUAGCGGUGGAAUGCGCAGAUAUCAGGAGGAACACCGAUGGCGAAGGCAGAUCUCUGGGCCGUAACUGACGCUGAGGAGCGAAAGCGUGGGGAGCGAACAGG
rnacentral:rRNA from 1 species